rnacentral:rRNA from 1 species
GGUGCUAACGUCCGUCGUGAAGAGGGAAACAACCCAGACCGCCAGCUAAGGUCCCAAAGUCAUGGUUAAGUGGGAAACGAUGUGGGAAGGCCCAGACAGCCAGGAUGUUGGCUUAGAAGCAGCCAUCAUUUAAAGAAAGCGUAAUAGCUCACUGGUCGAGUCGGCCUGCGCGGAAGAUGUAACGGGGCUAAACCAUGCACCGAAGCUGCGGCAGCGAACGUAUCACUUAAAGCGAUUCAGCGGGUUACGAUUGACGGAGCGAAGCGACGUCAAAGCGUAUACAAAGUCGAGUCGGUUUAAGGAUACGUUCGUUGGGUAGGGGAGCGUUCUGUAAGCCUGUGAAGGUGGCCUGUGAGGGUUGCUGGAGGUAUCAGAAGUGCGAAUGCUGACAUAAGUAACGAUAAAGCGGGUGAAAAGCCCGCUCGCCGGAAGACCAAGGGUUCCUGUCCAACGUUAAUCGGGGCAGGGUGAGUCGACCCCUAAGGCGAGGCCGAAAGGCGUAGUCGAUGGGAAACGGGUUAAUAUUCCCGUACUUGGUGUUACUGCGAAGGGGGGACGGAGAAGGCUAUGUUGGCCGGGCGACGGUUGUCCCGGUUUAAGCGUGUAGGUGUGUGUUCCAGGUAAAUCCGGUUCACUUUAACACUGAGGCGUGAUGACGAGGCACUACGGUGCUGAAGCAACAAAUGCCCUGCUUCCAGGAAAAGCCUCUAAGCAUCAGGUAACAUCAAAUCGUACCCCAAACCGACACAGGUGGUCAGGUAGAGAAUACCAAGGCGCUUGAGAGAACUCGGGUGAAGGAACUAGGCAAAAUGGUGCCGUAACUUCGGGAGAAGGCACGCUGACACGUAGGUGAAGUGAUUUACUCAUGGAGCUGAAGUCAGUCGAAGAUACCAGCUGGCUGCAACUGUUUAUUAAAAACACAGCACUGUGCAAACACGAAAGUGGACGUAUACGGUGUGACGCCUGCCCGGUGCCGGAAGGUUAAUUGAUGGGGUCAGCGCAAGCGAAGCUCCUGAUCGAAGCCCCGGUAAACGGCGGCCGUAACUAUAACGGUCCUAAGGUAGCGAAAUUCCUUGUCGGGUAAGUUCCGACCUGCACGAAUGGCGUAAUGAUGGCCAGGCUGUCUCCACCCGAGACUCAGUGAAAUUGAACUCGCUGUGAAGAUGCAGUGUACCCGCGGCAAGACGGAAAGACCCCGUGAACCUUUACUAUAGCUUGACACUGAACAUUGAGCCUUGAUGUGUAGGAUAGGUGGGAGGC